rnacentral:rRNA from 1 species
UACGUAGGGUGCGAGCGUUAAUCGGAAUUACUGGGCGUAAGCGUGCGCAGGCGGUUUUGUAAGCCCGAUGUGAAAGCCCCGGGCUCAACCUGGGAAUGGCAUUUGGGACUGCAAGGCUUGAGUGCGGCAGAGGAGACUGGAAUUCCUGGUGUAGCAGUGAAAUGCGUAGAUAUCAGGAGGAAUACCGAUGGCGAAGGCAGGUCUCUGGGCUGACACUGACGCUCAUGCACGAAAGCGUGGGGAGCAAACAGG